rnacentral:rRNA from 1 species
UACGUAGGGGGCAAGCGUUGUCCGGAAUCAUUGGGCGUAAAGAGCGUGUAGGCGGUUCGGUAAGUCCGCUGUGAAAGUCCAGGGCUCAACCCUGGAAUGCCGGUGGAUACUGCCGGGCUAGAGUCCGGAAGAGGCGAGUGGAAUUCCUGGUGUAGCGGUGAAAUGCGCAGAUAUCAGGAGGAACACCGAUGGCGAAGGCAACUCGCUGGGACGGUACUGACGCUGAGACGCGAAAGCGUGGGGAGCAAACAGG